AACCUGGUUGAUCCUGCCAGUAGUCAUAUGCUUGUCUCAAAGACUAAGCCAUGCAUGUCUAAGUAUAAGUAUUAUACAGCGAAACUGCGAAUGGCUCAUUAAAACAGUUAUAGUUUAUUUGGUGAUCAAAUUACAUGGAUAACCGUGGUAAUUCUAGAGCUAAUACAUGCGUAAAGGGCCGCUAGGCCCGUAUUUAUUAGAUAACAGACCAAUAUUGUGGUGACUCAUAGUAACUGAUCGAAUCGCAAGGCUAUGCCGCGAUAAAUCAUUCAAGUUUCUGCCCCAUCAGCUGUAGAUGGUAGUGUAUUGGACUACCAUGGCUUUCACGGGUAACGGAGGAUUAGGGUUCGAUUCCGGAGAGGGAGCCUGAGAAACGGCUACCACAUCUAAGGAAGGCAGCAGGCGCGUAAAUUACCCAAUACUGAUUCAGUGAGGUAGUGACAAGAAAUAGCGGGCCGGCUAAUGCCGGGACUGAAAUGAAUAGAAUUUAACGACCUUUGCGAGGAACGAUUGGAGGGCAAGUCUGGUGCCAGCAGCCGCGGUAAUUCCAGCUCCAAUAGC
rnacentral:rRNA from 1 species